UAGAUACCCUAUUAGAUAAUUUUAAGAUUUAGUAGUAAGUGAUAUUCAUGAAACUAAAAUUAAUUGGCGGCUUUUUAAAUAUUUUAGAGGAAUUUAUUCUAUAAAGGAUUUGACACCAGUAUCUUACUUUUGUUUGUAUUUUCAACAAUUUACAUACCUCUAUUUUAAAAUAUUUAAAUAUAUUUUAAUAAUACUUUUAUAGUAAAAUUUUAGGUAAAGGUGUAGUUUAUACAAAAGAAUGAAAUAAAUUAUAUUAAUUAUUAUUAAUAACAAUAUUUUAGUUGUAAUCUAAAAUUUAGUAAAAUUUAAAAGUAAAUUAAGUAUAUUAAGCUUGGUUGAAUGUGAUUUUAAAAGUGUACAUAUUGCCCGUCACUCUCUUAUUAGAGAUAAGUCGAAACAUAGUA
rnacentral:rRNA from 1 species